rnacentral:rRNA from 1 species
UAGGGAAUCUUCGGCAAUGGACGAAAGUCUGACCGAGCAACGCCGCGUGAGUGAAGAAGGUUUUCGGAUCGUAAAACUCUGUUGUUAGAGAAGAACAAGGACGUUAGUAACUGAACGUCCCCUGACGGUAUCUAACCAGAAAGCCACGGCUAACUACGUGCCAGCAGCCGCGGUAAUACGUAGGUGGCAAGCGUUGUCCGGAUUUAUUGGGCGUAAAGCGAGCGCAGGCGGUUUCUUAAGUCUGAUGUGAAAGCCCCCGGCUCAACCGGGGAGGGUCAUUUGAAACUGGGAGACUUGAGUGCAGAAGAGGAGAGUGGAAUUCCAUGUGUAGCGGUGAAAUGCGUAGAUAUAUGGAGGAACACCAGUGGCGAAGGCGGCUCUCUGGUCUGUAACUGAAGCUGAGGCUCGAAAGCGUGGGGAGCAAACAGG